ACAGGAAAGUGGAGCCCGAUACAGAAUUGUAAUACUGUAUCAGUCUCACUUUCUUGUUG
rnacentral:pre_miRNA from 1 species